rnacentral:rRNA from 1 species
UUGACCUCGGAUCAGGUAGGGAUACCCGCUGAACUUAAGCAUAUCAAUAAGCGGAGGAAAAGAAACCAACAGGGAUUGCCUCAGUAACGGCGAGUGAAGCGGCAACAGCUCAAAUUUGAAAUCUGGCUCUUUCAGGGUCCGAGUUGUAAUUUGUAGAAGAUGCUUCGGGUGUGGCUCCGGUCUAAGUUCCUUGGAACAGGACGUCAUAGAGGGUGAGAAUCCCGUAUGUGACUGGCUGCCUUCGCCUAUGUGAAGCUCUUUCGACGAGUCGAGUUGUUUGGGAAUGCAGCUCAAAAUGGGUGGUAAAUUUCAUCUAAAGCUAAAUAUUGGCCAGAGACCGAUAGCGCACAAGUAGAGUGAUCGAAAGAUGAAAAGCACUUUGGAAAGAGAGUUAAACAGUACGUGAAAUUGUUGAAAGGGAAGCGCUUGCAACCAGACUUGCAUGCGGUUAAUCAUCUAGUGUUCUCACUGGUGCACUUAACCGUAUUCAGGCCAGCAUCGGUUCAGGUGGUGGGAUAAAGGCCUUGGGAAUGUAGCUUCUUUCGGGGAGUGUUAUAGCCCUCGGUGCAAUGCCGCCUAUCUGGACCGAGGACCGCGCUCGGCUAGGAUGCUGGCGUA